rnacentral:rRNA from 1 species
CCUACGGGAGGCAGCAGUGGGGACUAUUGGGCAAUGGGCGCAAGCCUGACCCAGCAACGCCGCGUGAAGGCAGAAGGCUUUCGGGUUGUACACUUCUUUUAAGAGGGAAGCGCAGACUACGGUACCUCUCGAAUAAGCCAUGGCUAACUACGUGCCAGCAGCCGCGGUAAUACGUAGGUGGCAAGCGUUGUCCGGAUUUCCUGGGUGUAAAGGGCGUGCAGCCGGGAAGACGAGUCAGAUGGGAAAUCCCGCGGCUCAACCGCGGAACUGCAUUUGAAACUGUUAUUCUUGAGUACCGGAGAGGUCAUCGGAAUGCGUGGUGUAGCGGUGAAAUGCGUAGAUAUAAGGAAGAACACCAGUGGCGAAGGCGGAUGACUGGACGGAAACUGACGGUGAGGCGCGAAAGCGUGGGGAGCAAACAGGAUUAGAUACCCGGGUAGUC